UACGAAGGGUGCAAGCGUUAUCCGGAUUCAUUGGGUUUAAAGGGUGCGUAGGCGGGGUGGUAAGUCAGUGGUGAAAUCCUGCGGCUCAACCGUAGAAUUGCCAUUGAUACUGCCAUUCUUGAGUAGGCUCGACGUGGGCGGAAUGUGCCGUGUAGCGGUGAAAUGCUUAGAUAUGGCACAGAACACCGAUAGUGAAGACAGCUCACGAGGGCCAAACUGACGCUGAGGCACGAAAGCGUGGGGAUCGAACAGGAUUAGAAACCCGGGUAGUCC
rnacentral:rRNA from 1 species